rnacentral:tRNA from 2 species
AGCAACCUAGGUUAUUAGGAACUGUUUGUUUUCAAAACAAAAGGAGGGUGUUUGGUCCGGUUGCUG